GAUGAACGCUAGCUACAGGCUUAACACAUGCAAGUCGAGGGGCAGCACAGUGUAGCAAUACAUGGGUGGCGACCGGCGCACGGGUGCGUAACGCGUAUCCAACCUUCCCGAUACUCUUGGAUAGCCUUCCGAAAGGGAGAUUAAUACAAGAUGGUGUUUCAAUUCCGCAUGUUAUUGAAACUAAAGAUUUAUCGGUAUCGGAUGGGGAUGCGUGACAUUAGAUAGUAGGCGGGGUAACGGCCCACCUAGUCUACGAUGUCUAGGGGUUCUGAGAGGAGGGUCCCCACACUGGAACUGAGACACGGUCCAGACUCCUACGGGAGGCAGCAGUGAGGAAUAUUGGUCAAUGGUCGGAAGACUGAACCAGCCAAGUAGCGUGAAGGAUGAAGGUUCUAUGGAUUGUAAACUUCUUUUAUACGGGAAUAAAACCUCCCACGUGUAGGAGCUUGUAUGUACCGUAUGAAUAAGCAUCGGCUAACUCCGUGCCAGCAGCCGCGGUAAUAC
rnacentral:rRNA from 1 species